AACGUAGGAGACAAACGUUAUCCGGAGUUACUGGGCGUAAAGCGUGCGCAGGCGGUUUUGUAAGUCUGUCGUGAAAUCCCCGGGCUCAACCUGGGGAAUUGCGAUGGAGACUGCAAGGCUGGAAUCUGGCAGAGGGGGGUAGAAUUCCACGUGUAGCAGUGAAAUGCGUAGAGAUGUGGAGGAACACCGAUGGCGAAGGCAGCCCCCUGGGUCAAGAUUGACGCUCAUGCACGAAAGCGUGGGGAGCAAACAGG
rnacentral:rRNA from 1 species